rnacentral:tmRNA from 2 species
GGGAGUGAUCGGCUUCGAAAAGGGAGCUAUUUUAUAAAAACCAAGUCGAGGAUGCUUUCCUGCCCUCGUAAAUCUCGGGAAGCAACCUGUUAAAUGCAAAUUUUACAGCUAGAUUGAGAAGCGCUUUUGCGUCAUUCUCAUUCGCACCAGCUUUAGCUUAACGCUUUAGCUCAUCGGUCUCUUGAUUCUCGAUAGGGAGUCAACCGGUGUCAACCAUCGAGAGCUGUUUGCUGGAUUGUUUGGGGCCGGCAAAUUGCAAUUAUCUCAAGCUAGAAUUCGGAGUUUUUUAUCCGCUUUACAUCUGAAUUUCAAUCUAAAAACGGAUUAAACUUGUAGAGUUUUUAUAAAACAAUCUCUUCAACGCGGGUUCGAUUCCCGCCACUUCCACCA